rnacentral:ribozyme from 1 species
CUUUUGUUCUGGUACUCUGCACCGAGAUGCAUCUCCGGGCUAUCCU